GAUGAACGCUGGCGGCGUGCCUAAUACAUGCCAGUCGAGCGAACGGACGAGAAGCUUGCUUUUCUGAUGUUAGCGGCUGACGGGUGAGUAACACGUGGAUAACCUACCUAUAAGACUGGGAUAACUUCGGGAAACCGGAGCUAAUACCGGAUAAUAUUUUGAACCGCAUGGUUCAAAAGUGAAAGACGGUCUUGCUGUCACUUAUAGAUGGAUCCGCGCUGCAUUAGCUAGUUGGUAAGGUAACGGCUUACCAAGGCAACGAUGCAUAGCCGACCUGAGAGGGUGAUCGGCCACACUGGAACUGAGACACGGUCCAGACUCCUACGGGAGGCAGCAGUAGGGAAUCUUCCGCAAUGGGCGAAAGCCUGACGGAGCAACGCCGCGUGAGUGAUGAAGGUCUUCGGAUCGUAAAACUCUGUUAUUAGGGAAGAACAUAUGUGUAAGUAACUGUGCACAUCUUGACGGUACCUAAUCAGAAAGCCACGGCUAACUACGUG
rnacentral:rRNA from 1 species